rnacentral:lncRNA from 10 species
CGCCCGCCACUACGCCCGGCUAAUUUUAUUUUUGUAGUUUUAGUAGAGAUGGGGUUUCACCGUGUUAGCCAGGAUGGUCUCGAUCUCCUGACCUUGUGACCCACCCACCUCGGCCUCCCAAAGUGCUGGGAUUAUAGGCGUGAGCCACCGUGCCCAGCCAAGUCUCAGGUUUUUUUUUUUUUUUUUUUAACCCCUUUAGGUGGGACAGGAUGGCUACAGGGGCCUGGAUUUGGGUAUUUGCCUUCCCUCAGGUUUGUUAGGAUCUGAUAAAAUCCUAGUAGGGUUAGGCUUUGGUAAAAUAGUUUCUCUUGAGGACAGGCCUUGUUAAGAAGAACAGAAUGUUCUGGAGUAUUUCAAAAUUACACCUUUACUUUACUAUUCCUCUCCCUCUUACCAUUACUUUUCCCUCUUCCUGCUGGAAGCCCAAGGAGAUUUUUCUCUGAUGUUCACUGUGAGAACUCGGAGGAACUCCUGGAGGUAAAGUGUAGGCAUCCCCCUUGCAAGUGGGCCCUCCUGGAGCUUUAACUCCCAGACUUGUCCACACGGAGCCUCCAGCAAUUCAUCAACUACAGUUCAGGUUUUUCUAGCCUGGUAUUUGUUCCUGCACAGAUUUCUUUUUAUGAGUUUCUGCUCCUGUAAGUUGAUUCUCUGUAUCCUCCUGUCUAGGACUACUGGUUUGCUCUGCAAAUUUAAUUUUCUAACAAAUCUAAGAAGAGGUACUGAUUUUUGUUUUGUCAAGUUUUAACUUGUUAGGACAGAGUGAUGACUCCUAAGGUCCUUAUGUGCUAGAUGGGGCAAGCUUCUUUUUAUUUCAAAGGCUUUUCUAAUUUUCUCUUAAGGCAUUAUACAUUGUGAUUACUUGCUCUUGUGUUCCUUAUAGUAUAAUAUUUAUUCUUGAAUAAUGUAUUUUAAAAUUUGAAUUCUUUGCUGAAUUGCGUCACUUCAAUUUUUUUUAUCUUUUUGUUUUUCUCUUUUCUCAAAUAGGAAGUACUGUCAUUCUGACAGCAGGUUCACCCAAAGGGUACACCUUGACUUUGUAAUAGUAUCCCUGACUGUUCUGUUAAAUUUCAAAAUGAGAAAACUCUUUUUCGUCUAUUGACAGAUAAUGUGCACCCAAAUUAAGUGUGAGUGGGGGUCUGACUGUAUGUCUAAAGUGUACAGGCAGAGAUGAAUGUGUGUGGCUUUAGCAGAUCCACACUCAUCCAGGGAUAACUGGACCAUGGGGGCAGGGUGGGAGUGGAGAGAAGUCAUCAUAGGAUGGUAAUCAGGUGCUUGCAGGGAGAAGAGAAGGAAAAGCAGAUGAGUGAACAAGGGCAGAUGGUGCUGGAGAAUUCCAUCAAGUGGGCAUCAAGAAGGGACUGGAGGUUAAAACCUUUGGGAUAAAGAAGAAGAAAAAAAGACAAGCUGGUAAAAAAUGGCACCUGGGCACUGUUUGCUGGGCACAAACAUGGCACUGUUUCCUAGGAGAUGAUUCCUCCAGUUCUUUAAGGUAGUAAUGAAUGACAACAAGAAGUUACUUCUCUAUGCUACACACGGUGUAGAAUCCAGAGCCUGACUGGCUGUGACGCGCCCAUGGUGACACCAAGGGGACUCUGCAUGGGCACAUCCCGGCCCUCCUCCCUGCAUGUUCUCCAAGCCAGGUCUUUGAAACCUCCAGUGAUGGGAAUGACAGAAUCUGGGAUGAUUUUCUUCUGUUUCUUAUCUAAAAAAACAACAAAAAGCUCAGCAUACACGGACUCACACAAACCUUUUGCUAGAGGCAGCUCUGUAGACUUAAGACGCUGUCAUUUUUCAGAAGAACCCAGCUUGCUUUGGAACUACAGUCAGCCCUGCAACCCACCCUCACCUUGGACCCUGCUGCUGCUGUCUGUAAAGACAAUGCUGCGAUGAAUACACCUGUGCAUUCUUUUUUAGAACAAGUGUAAGAAUUCCUAUGUGCAGCUGGAAAAGUGCUGACCAGAGCAUUGUUGAAGGCCGUAUAGUAAGAAUGGCAAAGCUUCCCUACCAGCCCAACUGACUGUUUUGUGGUGCAGAGGCCAUCUAUUAUGUGAGAGAGAGCAAUAAAUAUAUAUAUAUAUAUUUUUCUAAGAGACUGGAGUCUCACUAUGUUGCCCAGGCUGGCCUUGAACUCCUGGCCUAAAGCAAUCCUCCCACCUCAGUCUUCCAAGUAGCUGGGACUACAAGUGUGUGCCACCAUGCCCAGCUCUAUAAACGUCUAUUUUUAUUGAGUCCCUAUGUGAGAUCAUUUUCUUGUAGCAGCUUACAUUCUGUACUAAAUUAUACAUGCAAUUUUUCAAAUGUAUUGGACAUUUACACUUUUUCUUCCAUGAUUUGCUUGUUCAAACCAUUUGCUUGUUUUCCAGUUAGGUUUUGCUUUUUACAUAUUUUAAUGGGUAUUCUUCGAAUAUUUUGGAAAUUUCUCCUUUGUUAAAAUGUUAUACCUCCCUCUCCCUCUCCCUCUCCCUCUCCCUCUCCCUCUCCCUCUCCGUCUCCCUCC